AACGAACGCUGGCGGCAUGCCUAACACAUGCAAGUCGAACGAGACCUUCGGGUCUAGUGGCGCACGGGUGCGUAACGCGUGGGAACCUGCCCUUAGGUUCGGAAUAACUCCCCGAAAGGGGUGCUAAUACCGGAUAAUGUCUUCGGACCAAAGAUUUAUCGCCUUUGGAUGGGCCCGCGUUGGAUUAGCUAGUUGGUAGGGUAAAAGCCUACCAAGGCGACGAUCCAUAGCUGGUCUGAGAGGAUGAUCAGCCACACUGGGGCUGAGACACGGCCCAGACUCCUACGGGAGGCAGCAGUGGGGAAUAUUGGACAAUGGGCGAAAGCCUGAUCCAGCAAUGCCGCGUGAGUGAUGAAGGCCUUAGGGUUGUAAAGCUCCUUUACCCGGGAUGAUAAUGACAGUACCGGGAGAAUAAGCUCCGGCUAACUCCGUG
rnacentral:rRNA from 1 species